UCUCCUGGAAGUCCAGUGGUUAGGACUCAGCACUUUGACUGCUGAGGGCCCAGGUUCAAUUCCUGGUCAGGGAA
rnacentral:tRNA from 1 species